rnacentral:rRNA from 1 species
UACGAAGGGGGCUAGCGUUGCUCGGAAUACUGGGCGUAAAGCGUGCGCAGGCGGUUAUGUAAGACAGAUGUGAAAUGCCCGGGCUUAACCUGGGAACUGCAUUUGUGACUGCAUGGCUAGAGUUUGGCAGAGGGGGGUAGAAUUCCACGUGUAGCAGUGAAAGUGCGUAGAUAUCGGAGAGGAACACCAGUGGCGAAGGCGAGUCCCUGGACAACUUCUGGACGCUGAGGCACGAAAGCUAGGGGAGCAAACAGG